UAAAUGCAUUUUCUGGUAAGUA
rnacentral:miRNA from 1 species